AUUGAACGCUGGCGGCAGGCCUAACACAUGCAAGUCGAACGAGUGGCGGACGGGUGAGUAAUGUCUGGGAAACUGCCCGAUGGAGGGGGAUAACUACUGGAAACGGUAGCUAAUACCGCAUACCAUCGGAUGUGCCCAGAUGGGAUUAGCUAGUAGGUGGGGUAACGGCUCACCUAGGCGACGAUCCCUAGCUGGUCUGAGAGGAUGACCAGGCACUCUGGAAUUGAUACACGGUCCAGACUCCUACGGGAAGCAGCAGUGGGGAAUAUUGCACAAGGGGCGCAAGCCUGGUGCAGCCAUGCCGCGUGUAUGAAGAAGGCCUUCGGGUUGUAAAGUACUUUCAGCGAGGAGGCGUUACCCGCAGAAGAAGCACCGGCUAACUCCGUGCCAGCCGCCGCGGUAAUAC
rnacentral:rRNA from 1 species